GUCUAUUUGGAGCUAUAAAUAGUCUGGCCUGCUCACUGACGUGUACUUACGUUUAAGAGCCGCGGUAUUUUGACCGUGCAAAGGUAGCAUAAUCAUUAGUUUUUUAAUUGAGAACUUGUAUGAAGGGUCGGACAAAGGAAUAACUGUCUUUGUUAUAAAAAUUGAAGUUAACUUUUAAGUGAAAAGGCUUAAAUAUUUCAGGGGGACGAUAAGACCCUAUAAAGCUUUAUGUGUUGAUGAGACUUAAUUGAAUUAUACAUAUAAAUUUUUAGUUUGGUUAACAUGUUUUAUUGGGGCGAUAUAUGUAUAAUUUAUAUUAACUGCUUAAAAAUGAAUACAAUAAAUACGUGAAUGAAAGUGAAUGAUCCUUUUUAGAGAUUAAAAGACUAAGUUACUUUAGGGAUAACAGCGUUAUUUCUUUUGAGAGUUCAUAUCGAAAAAGAAGUUUGCGACCUCGAUGUUGAAUUAAAAUAUCUGCAUAGUGUAGCCGUUAUGUGAGAAGGUUUGUUCAACCUUUAAAAUUUU
rnacentral:rRNA from 1 species